rnacentral:RNase_P_RNA from 2 species
GACAGACUCAAGGCUGCGAGGCUCGACACGCACAGAGCUUUCUCUCUCUUUUUCGAGCGGGCUAAGGUCUGAGCUAUUCUCUCUCGCCCUAGCUGGGUCUCGCCGUUAGCGGCGGGCGGGCCACCAGAAAUUCGGGAUACUUGCAGCCUUACGGCGCGAGGGUCGACGUUUCACGCAGACGUUGACAUCCGCGCGUCGGACUGCCGGCGCGUGGUAUGUCUUGGGAGUGCCCGCGAAACUGGGCGGCUGUUCGCAGACUGGCGGCAUAUGUGUCUGGUUUGCACUUGCACGAGGAAGGUCUGUGGAGUGUGGAAACCGCCACCACGACAGUGAAGCGGUAGACUUAUGUCUCAUGCCACCGUAGAAUGUCCCCGCACUGUGGGAUGGGAACGGUAGGCGACCCUGCUUUCUGAUGGCUAUGUCUGUGCUUUGCCUUAAGCAGGAGUGCCGCUUAUCCUGUUCAUGGUUGGCUUGAAUUGGCCUGUGUGUUGAAUCUUCCAAUAAAAGACUAGAUGGAUGGGCCUGCAUGCAGUUCUGGUAUCCUCCCACUGCCUGGGUGUAGACCGUUGCAUUGAGCGUAUCGUUCGGUGAAGCAGCUCGUUGUUGAGUGCAAUUUGCAGCGUGUCGUUCUUCGGAGCGGGACAACUCAAUUCAGACUACUCUUUGUCUGUC